rnacentral:rRNA from 1 species
CGGGGUGAGUAAUGUCUGGGAAACUGCCUGAUGGAGGGGGAUAACUACUGGAAACGGUAGCUAAUACCGCAUAACGUCGCAAGACCAAAGAGGGGGACCUUCGGGCCUCAUGCCAUAAGAUGUGCCCAGAUGGGAUUAGCUAGUAGGUGGGGUAACGGCUCACCUAGGCGACGAUCCCUAGCUGGUCUGAGAGAAUGACCAGCCACACUGGAACUGAGACACGGUCCAG